rnacentral:rRNA from 1 species
ACUCGAUAAUCCACGAAUACCCAACCUCCUCUUGAUAUUCAGCAUGUGUACUGCCGUUGUAAGCAUACCUCUAAAAGUUCAAGUAUACAAACAUGACUAGAAUCUCAUAUACAUCAGGUCAAAGUGCAGCCAAUAAGGAGGUGAUGAUGGGUUACAACCCCAAAACAGACUAUCAACUAAGAAAUAAAAAAUCUUACGAAAGUGGACUUGGUAGUAAUCAAUUUACAAGUUAAAGAAAUGAAUAAAACUCUAAGACAUGUACACAUCGCCCGUCACUCUAUCCUAAAGGAUAGAUAAGUCGUAACAAAGUAGGUGUAAUGGAAAUUGCUCCUGUCGAAAUAUAGCAUAUAAAAUGCUUUUUACUUACACUAAAAAUAAAGUUGGAUAACUUAUUUCGCCCAAGCCAAAAACCCUAUAAACCAUUAACAAUGAAAACACUUAAAUAAUAAACCAAAUACUUAAAGUACAUAAAUGGAAAAAACAAUAAAUUAAAGUAAAUAUUAAAAAAUAUACCUUGUGCAUUAUGGUUUUACAAGAAAAUAGUUAAAACACCGAUCCCGAAUUCUAUAUGAGAUGUUGAGUUGCUGUUAAGAACCCACUAGUAACUGUAGAAAAAGUUUUAAAAGACAACUUGACAGAGGCUACAUACCAUCCGCAUAAGAAUAUAGCUGGUUUUCAACAAAAAUUAUAAAUUAAGACAUAUAAUUAAAUUAUAGUGUAAAACUACUGAGGAUAAGCCCAAUAGAUAAGAGCAAUAUAAUGCAUAAGUCCAUAGUAACCCUUAGGCCUAAAAUCAGCCAACCAAAAUACUUUACCGUAAUAAACACGGAUAAAAUUAAUAACACUUAAAUGCCCUAUAAAGUUGAAAUAGUGAAUAAAUAUGCCCACUCACUUAUAUUAUGUAAAAAUAAGUAUUCCAAAAUAAGAGUAAAACAAGCCCGUGACAAACACCGUAAAAGACACAAUAACUAAUUAAGGAACUCGGCAACCAUUAUUUCGACUGUUUAACAAAAACAUUGUUUCAUGAAAUAAAUAUGAAAUAAAACCUGCCCA